rnacentral:rRNA from 1 species
GGAUGAGCCCGCGGCCUAUCAGCUAGUUGGUGAGGUAGUGGCUCACCAAGGCGACGACGGGUAGCCGGCCUGAGAGGGCGACCGGCCACACUGGGACUGAGACACGGCCCAGACUCCUACGGGAGGCAGCAGUGGGGAAUAUUGCGCAAUGGGCGAAAGCCUGACGCAGCAACGCCGCGUGCGGGAUGAAGGCCUUCGGGUUGUAAACCGCUUUCAGCAGGGAAGAAGCGAAAGUGACGGUACCUGCAGAAGAAGCACCGGCUAACUACGUGCCAGCAGCCGCGG